rnacentral:rRNA from 1 species
UACGAAGGGGGCUAGCGUUGUUCGGAAUUACUGGGCGUAAAGCGCACGUAGGCGGAUUGUUAAGUUAGGGGUGAAAUCCCAGGGCUCAACCCUGGAACUGCCUUUAAUACUGGCAAUCUCGAGUCCGAGAGAGGUGAGUGGAAUUCCGAGUGUAGAGGUGAAAUUCGUAGAUAUUCGGAGGAACACCAGUGGCGAAGGCGGCUCACUGGCUCGGUACUGACGCUGAGGCACGAAAGCGUGGGGAGCAAACAGG